AAACUUUCAGGUCUCACAGAGAGCUGAAAUGUUCAUGAAUAUCAUGCAGAACAGGAAUUACCUGCAUGAACUGAACUAACAGAAGACUGAACUAAUCUUUUUGACUUUUUUCUUAAAAUGUUCUUGAUCCUUCAUUUUGUUUUUCAGAGCCAAGGAAAUUUUUUUGAGCUAUUGACAUCUUUUAACAAGUUACUAUACUCCUACGAACAAAAUUUGGAACAUAUUUGUUUCUCUCUACCUGAUUUCUCCAGAAUUUGGAAACUACUUCUCAAGAGAGCAGCAUGGUUCCCAGCGAUGGUUAAACAUUACCACCAAGAAGGCUUAGUGAAAUUGGAAAGUAAUUGGAAGACAAAACAGAAAGAAAAGGAACCUGACAUCAAAAUAGUGAUUUUGUAACGGCUUAAGAACAGAGACCAGUUUGGAAGAUCAAGAGCCAUUAGGUUACAGAACCGUGAGUGAAUGUCACAUGCAUUUUAACUAGUAUUCCUUCAUUGUCUGAAGAACAAGUGUUCAGACAAUUCCUUCCUCAUGUCACAGAAUGGACUAUAGAUGAUGAUAGGAUUCGCUCCUGGACCAUGCUCUGGUCAUACUCCUCUGAGAUCCCUUUUUGAUUAGGCCCCAACUUGGGUUCUGUUCUUGGCCUAGUUAGUUAAAUUAGGCAAGAAUUCUGCUGGUUCAGUUUAACGAAAAUCCCUUAUCUUUGAUAUCUAAUCAAAUUUCUUAUCCCCCCACAUUCAGUAUCUUAUCACCCUGCCUGCAUUCAGCAAGAAUUUUGCUAAGUCAGUUUAGCCAGAAUCCCUUCAAGGUUUCCUCUCUAGUAAUUUUCCACCCACUGACCAUCACUUAUCCAAAAUCCGCACUUAUCCUGGUAUUCAGAAUGCAGCCCCGUUCUAUACUGAGGUCUCUCUGUCCCCACUGCAAUAGUUCCUGAAUAAAAUUUGCCUUCACUGCUUU